UUUUACAGAAAUAGUUAAAAGAUGGGAUCAUGAGGCUAUUAAUCAACUGCCAGACUACAUGAAGAUAUGUUUUCAGAUUCUUGAUAAUGUCACUAAUGAAAUCAGCUACAAGGUGUACAAGGAGCAAGGCUUUAACCCUGUGCACUCACUAAGGAAAGCGUCGUCCAGUUUGUGCAACGCAUUUCUAGUUGAAGCAAAAUGGUUUGCUGAUGGAAGCAUGCCUAAGGCCGAAGAAUACUUGAAAAAUGGGAUUAUUAGUUCAGGGAUACAUGUGGUACUCGUGCAUGUAUUUUUCUUCUGGGUCAGAAUGUAACAAAGGAAACUGUUCAACUUAUUGACAACAAUC